UACGAAGGGGGCUAGCGUUGUUCGGAUUCACUGGGUUUAAAGGGUGCGUAGGUGGGUUGGUAAGUCAGUGGUGAAAUCUCCGUGCUUAACAUGGAAACUGCCAUUGAUACUACUGAUCUUGAAUUUUCGGGAGGUAAGCGGAAUAUGUCAUGUAGCGGUGAAAUGCUUAGAUAUGACAUAGAACACCAAUUGCGAAGGCAGCUUACUACAGGAAUAUUGACACUGAUGCACGAAAAGCGUGGGGGAUCAAACAGG
rnacentral:rRNA from 1 species